rnacentral:lncRNA from 1 species
GGUUCUUUUUUUUUCGGAGCUGGGGACCGAACCCAGGGCCUUGCGCUUCCUAGGUAAGCGCUCUACCACUGAGCUAAAUCCCCAGCCCCAGAAAGGAUAUUCUUAACAUAUCUAAUAUCUUUCUCCUUAGAAUCAGAGAGAAAGAAGGGGAAGAAAUACAAAAGAAGAAAGUGACCAGGAUAGGUUUUUGUUGGCUUGUAUUUUGUGUCUGUGUAUUUGCAUUUCCACACACAUUGAUUGCAUGCCAGGAGACAAUCAAACAUGCAUUGUGUGUUGCAAGAAACUGGUCCAGGAUUUAAACUUCUAUGGACACCAUCUAGAUGUGGAUAGGCAGAAAUUGGCCAAGCAGAGAAAGGAGAUGGAUACAAAGUACACUUCCUGAGUAAUUUUACUUUAGUACCAAAUGUUAGCCAUGACAAUCUUUAUUUAAAUUAUUCUAAGCCAGGCACGGCAGUGUCCACCUGUGAUCCCUGCACUUGGGAGGUGCAGGAGCAGUGUCAGAUGUUCAAGGUCAUCCUCUGAGGCAUAGCAAAUUCAAGACCAGCCUGGGAUACACAAAACUUUGUCUUACUUUUUAAAAUAAAUAUAUAAAUAAAAUAAUUUGUAUCCCUGCUACUUUCUUUUUAAGACCAAAACUAUGUACAUGAAGAAGCAUAUUUAUAUUUUAAGUAAGCCUUUAUCUUAAUCUUGCUUCAUGUUUUUCAGAAAACAAGCAGCAUUUUUUCAUUGCACAUAAAAAUGUAAAAUUCUUGCAUGCCACCAGUCCUAAUGGCUUACGAGUUCUAUGCCUGUCAAGUGUGACCUCAUGUGUAUUGUUACCUAUAUCCUGUUGAAGAGACUAAGGGACAUAAUAUUCUUGUAAACUUGUAAACUUUGUUGGUAACAUUUGUUUACUUGAGCAGAUACUGAAAAGCCACAAGGCUUUAUUUUUCGUUUGAUAUUUUUUGAUCAAAGCUAGAUGAUUGGUUAAUUCACUAGGGACCUAAAGACUAACUUGCCUUUUAAAUGUGAAGUUGAACAUCUUAAAAAGUGCAAGACAAAAAAAAAUGUAUAGAGUGUAAACUAAUUUUAUCCUCAUAAUAAGGAACCCUAUUGGCCCAAAAGGGUGUAAUUUUGGGCCCUUUGGAAUUAGCCACCCAGAACUAAUGUUAAGCUAAAUAUAAACUGUUUUAAUUAACCAAUAUCUUUCUGCUUUCAAAGAUGUCAUGUGUUCACUUGUGUCUGGAAUGUUAGCUGUAAAUUAAAAUGUAAAAAGAGGUGGGGAGGGGGGAUGUCAAUAAACUUAACUUUAAAUGU